GCACUGGUGGCUGAGUAGUAGAAUUCUUACCUUCUGUGCAGCAGAACCAGGCUCGAUUCCUGGCCAGUGCA
rnacentral:tRNA from 1 species